AGCACUUUAGCUCAAUUGGUAGAACCAUUGUCUUACAUACAAUAGGUCAUCCGUUCGACUCGGAUAAGUGCUACCA
rnacentral:tRNA from 1 species